CGUGAAAUUGUCGAAAGGGAAGCGCUUGAAGUCAGCCAUGCUGCUUGAGACUCAGCCUUGCUUUUGCUUGGUGUAUUUCUCGGUAGCAAGCCAGCAUUGGUUCGAGUCGUCGGAGAAGGGUAUGAGAAAUGUGGCAUCCUCGGAUGUGUUAUAGACUUGUACUGGAUACGACGAUUUGGAUCAAGGAACGCAGUGUGCCUCUGGCGGGUCUUCG
rnacentral:rRNA from 1 species